rnacentral:rRNA from 1 species
CGGUGGAUGCCUUGGCAGUCAGAGGCGAUGAAGGACGUAUUAACUUGCGAUAAGCCCAGAUUAGGUAGUAAAAACCAUUUGAGUCUGGGAUUUCCGAAUGGGGAAACCCACUUACAUAAGUAAGUAUCGCUGCGUGAAUACAUAGCGCAGCGAGGCGAACCGGGGGAACUGAAACAUCUAAGUACCCCGAGGAAAAGAAAUCAACCGAGAUUCCGAAAGUAGCGGCGAGCGAAAUUGGA